rnacentral:misc_RNA from 1 species
GCCCAAAAUGGUAGUCUUAGGGUCUCGGGAACAACUAUGCAUUCAUGAAGAAGUAAGUCAGCUGCGUGGAAAAACACAGACAAAUGCCUGCCAUGCACUUUGCAAAAAACGCAAAAAACGUUAUUGUGCCCAUUUUUCUCGAGUUGCAGAGUUCAUGAAGAUUAACCCUAGUAUCGGAGAGGAGCCUAUUGACAUAGAGGAUUUGGU